CAAACAGCUCCAUCAGAGGUUGCUCCCUUGACCCCCUCUGCCUUUCCUGGCAUGUGGAUGUGGUGCUGCAAGGGGGAAUGGGUUCCCAGGCUUGGAUGGGAUACUGGGAAGGAGAAGCUGUGGCUGCCCCAUCCCUGGAAGUGUCCAAGGCCAGGCUGGACAGGGGUUGGAGCCUCCUGUGAUAGUAGAAGGUGGAAUGAGAUGAGCUUUAAGUUCCUUCCAAACAAAACCAUUCUGUGAUUUCACAAAAAACAAAAAGGUGGGGAAUGAUAUUGGGAAAAUGAGCCUGUCCUGAGCAAGAUGUUUCAUCCAACCUGUCCUUCCCACAGGUGUGAUCCCACAAUCAGCCCAGCCCAGGUACCACAGGACGUGCCAGCAGUGAUGCAGUUUUCACAGCCCAUUUCCAGCUCACCUCUGGAACUGAGGAGUUUGCACGUGGUGCAGCAAAGACCCAGAGAUUUACGCUGUCAGGGCAAGGAAACAUCAGAAUCAGUCCUGAAAAUCCAGGCUGUUCCCCAGAAGAGCCGUGUCCCUGCUCAGCUGGCACCUGCCAAAAUCCCGAGCAGCUCAGCUCAGCCAAGGAAUGAUUAAUUGUUCCUGUAUUUGCCUGCCCCUUGGCACUCCGUGGAUGUUGAAGGCUGUCUGGAAUAUUCUGAAGUUGGGGGAAAGUUUGAAACUGGGGCUCUCUGGGCUGCUUGGAGUGGAAGGAAGUCGUGGCUGCUGCGAUGAACCUGGACCCUGUGGCGUGUGACUGACACAUGACGGGACAGGGGACAUUAAUUAAAGGGUGGCACUGGGAGAGCCAGGAGCAGGAGCUGCUUAUUCACACAGAGAAGAUGGAGAGAGGAGAGAGAAUUCAGCCCUGGUUCAGUGGCACACAGUUCCCAUGUUGUUCUUUGGGAUGUCAGCACAAGAAAACAGCCACAUUUGCCUUUCCUCUGCCCUGAUGGGGUGAAUGAUCCUGGGACAGUUCUGCUCCCUGCUCCCCUUCCAUCCCUCUGCUUCCCACACGGAUCCCUCCAUCCCACUGGCAGCACAGCACUGUGAGGGGAUAUGUCACAUUAUCAUUGUGACUAUUGGGAGCUCCUGGGACCAGCUCUGUAAUUCUCCCCGUCUCUUCCUUUCCAUCUCCUCUCCAGCAUCAGGCCUGGCUGUCACUUCCCACGCUGACAGCUCGGAGUGCUCUGGGGGAUGCCAUCCACUGAGGACAGCCCCGUUAGCCUCUGCCCUGCACCAUCUGCUUCCAGCCCAGCACAUCAGGCAGCCUGUGCAGCAGCACAUCCAGCAUUCCCUCUUCCCGAGCCAAUGGAGAAUUCCCAGAUCAGGGAGACCUGUUAAAAGGAUGCUGAAUUUGCUCCACGACUGUCCCCAGCAGUGCUGAGUGUCACUUCCAAAGUGGUGCUGCCACGGCAAGGACUGUGCCUGUCCUCCCAGGGGUCACAGGUGAGUCCUCCCAGGGGUCACAGGUGAGUCCCUUGCCCCAUGAGCCCACCAGCCCUCGUGGGCAGCUGCUGUUUGUGUUCCAUCCAUCCAGCGGGAUGCAGCUCAGAACCACAACCAGCAAUCAGCCUGCUGCACCAGAAAGGGAAUUCUGGCUGAUGUCUCUGACACCCCUCCUCCUCCUGUGCCUGCCUGGGCCACUCCACGCAGCUCUUGUCACCGCACAAAGCUGUGGCAGCAGGACCUUGUGGCACGUGGCUGCCGCCGGAGCUGCCGAGGCCGUGGGAUUGUUGCUUCCCUGACAGCAGCCGUCACCGCUACCUUUGGAUUUGUUUCAAGAUGCUCAGUGGGCAUCUGUUCUGCGAAAUGUUAAAGGCUCUGCUGAGCUGCAUAUUGAGCAGGCUCUGCGCCACCGGCGCUGCCCUUUGCUGGAGUUACAGGCAGUUUUAGAUAUAUUUAUCCAGUUAAAAGCACAGAAUUGCAGACAGGUUUGGGUUGGAAGGACCUUAAAACUCAUCUUGUUCCACCCCCUGUCGUGGGCAGGGACACCUUCCACUAUCCCAGGCUGCUCCAAGCCCUGUCCAACCUGGUGUUGGACAUUUCCAGGGAUCCAGGGGCAGCCACAGCUUCUCUGGACAACCUGUUCCUACCUCUCACCACCUUCCCAGAGAGAUGCAGAAGGAGAUGUGCAAUGGAGACCAACAUUUCCCAACUCAAACUGCAGAGAUUCCUGCCAUGAGCUCCUUCAAGUUGCAAAAUCCUCAUUGCAAAAAGGGCCCUUGGGACUCUGCUGUAGUUUGAGCACCUCUUCACUGCUGAGACCUCAUGAGGACCAACAGGAGCUGCUUCCCAGGAUGUGGAGAACAAGAGCCCCUUUGCUCCUUGAGCUGGGCUGCAGGAUCAAACCCUCACCUGUGUCAACACCCUCACCUACGGGGCAGUUUGUUCCUGGCAAACACAGCACAAUUCCCACAUCAAAGGUACAACAAACUGUUGACCCAGGGAACACUUUGGCUCGAGAAAUGAGACACUGAGUGGCUCUGGGGAGCUCUGAGAUAGCUGAAGUGUGCAUAUAAAAAGACUCCUUAGGUUAAUCAGGUGACUUCAGACAGAGGGUGAGGAAUGUUCUAGGAUCUGCUGGGAAAACAAGGAUGGUGCUGGCCUGGCACUGGGGCUCUGCGAGUCCAAGAUCUCAACCCCGCACAGAGGUGAUGAGGAGAGGUCAGCACCCCAGAGCCACCCCCAGGAGGAGCCACCCCAGGCCACCAUCCCUGCUCUGGGGGACAGACGCCACUGGGAGCCUGUUUGGUAACAGGUGUCACCAGCUCGGUGGCAGUGACAGCGCGGCUGCGACGUGCGAGCCGAGAUCUGGCACGCGGUGCUGCACAAACUGUCACAUGGCACUGGUGGCUCCUGCCAGCCUCCCCAGGCCACAUUCUGCACCUGCUCCUUUGUGCUCAGAGCUCCAGAGGGGACACGGCAGGAGCCUCCCAAGUGGCUCAGGGCCACCCCAGGGGACGGCAGGAAGGACAGCGCUGACACCUGAGGAUGUGCAUUCAGGUUUGAAACCAAACCCCACAGCCCAGUGCCACCAGCAGAGCCUGCUCCAGGAGCAUCCUUGCCAGGGGAUUUGGCUCUCUGACGUCCCCCCAUGCCUGUCACAGCUCCAGCAAACCAAGUGCUGCACAGCAGAAAAUACCAAGAAAUGGCAAAUCUCCCCUUUGAAAGGCAAAUGAUUUUGCUGAUUAUUUCAGCCUCCUGCUCUGGAGGCAGUUAAUGCUCUAGUCAGGAGCUCCAGGGGCUGCAGGCGCCGGGGAUGCUGGGGGGCUCCUCCCUGCCAGCAGCAGGAUGUGGUUGGAGCACUUUCAAAUAUUAAUUAGACCUUUUUUGCUGUUAAUGAAUCACUCCUGAUUUUUGCAAACUCUUGGCUUUCAAAUGCUCCAUGCAGAGCUCAGCCCAGUGCUCCUCAGAGUGGGGAUAGGGAACAGGAAUAUCUCAGCCACUCUUCCAGGUGACACAGACCAGGGACACAGAAAAGCUCCUCUGGGGACAGUCACCACGUGCCACCCACUGGCAGCCAGCAGAGCUCCUUCAGACCACACGGUGCACCUUGCUCUUUUGGGAGCCUUUAUGUGCAGAGGAUCUCCAAGCACACUGAUCCAGAGGCUAACCAGGCAGGAAGGGAACAGCUGGCAGGACAGCGGCGGGAUGAGAACGGCCCCGGUGGGAUGGGGAGGAGCUGCCCCGGUGGGACGAGGAGUGGCCUCACUCCACGGAGCAGUGGGCAGGAGAUUCUGGAGCUCUGCUGUACCCUGGCAUUAACUCCUACCUGCCUUCCACUUCCCUGAAAUCAUUGUUGAUGCUGCUGGUCCAUCAGGCUGAGGCAGAGCUCACCCUCUGGCAGAGACACACCUCGCUGAUUAGGAUUAUGAUUUAUUUUCCAGGUAGGAUUGGUCCAACAGCCCAAAGAGGUGAUGAAGAGCCUGAGCCCUGAUCCUGAUCCUGAUCCUCACCACUUGGGAGAGCAGAGCCAAAAUCUGGGGGCUCAUCCCCCCUUUACCAGGUGAGGAUUUUGUGGGAGCAAGUCUCCAAUCCCAGCACCCACAUCUGGAUGGGGACAGCCAGGGGCCCAGCCAGGCCUUGAUGGUCCCCCUGACCACUCAGAGGCAGCUGUGGGGUCCCAGCUGGCAGGAAGGUUCUCCUCCAUCCUCGUGCUUUCAGCACAGUUUUCCUGCCUGCAGAUUAGCUCCAGCAGCAGACCAUGGAAAUGGAAAUGCUCCUUCACAGGCUUUGGAAUCCUCCUGCAGCCGCAAGCUCCAUGUGCCCAUCACAUUUCUCAUUUUCUUUCAAGUUUCCCUGCUCUUUCCAGGGCAGUUGAGUGUCUCACCACUCUCCUAAACCCAUGGGGAUGUUUUUUUGCAGGUAGCACAGACACAGUGGGGCUGGGAAGCUGCUGAGUGUGGCACAGCAGGGACAUUCCUGUGGUCACUCUGCCUGUCCUCCCAUCCCUCUGGGCACAAGCUCCCUGUGCAGCUCCCAAGCCCAAUGCUAAAAGAAAUGGUUUGUUCCCAUUCCCAGAGGCUCCUGUGCUGGAGAAAAGCCACGUGGGGUGGAUAAAUGAUUAUAAGGCAAGUGCUAGAGGCUUUUUCUAGGAAUUAGAUAAUCCAUCCCCUCUGUGGGAUGGGCGGCCAAGCGCUGCCUCUCCGUCACGGACAUCCACCUUUCCCUCCCCCCGUGCCAUGAAAACUGCAUCCACAGAUCCCCCAUCUGCUCACAUACAUCACACACUUCACUCCAGUUUAUUAGCUGGAAUAAAUCAUAAAUAUUUCAUUAUAUAUCAACGGCGCUCGACUCCGGGAAGGCGCAAUCCAUCACCCCGCCGUUCCCCGCGACCCGCCGCCGUGCAAUAAGCUUUCCAGUCUAUUAAACAAGAUUGAUACACUGUGCCAGGCUGCACUGGGGGGGUUUAUUUAUGGAGCACUGCCAGAGGGAGGGCACGAAUGUGUGGGGCUGCACGGGCAAGUGGGGCUGCUCCUGAGCAGCAAGAGGCAGAGCUCUCCAAGAGUGUCCUGGGAAUGUUGCUGGCAUUAGAAGAAUCAUGGAAUUAUUUAGCUUGGGAAAGGCCCUUAAAAGUGUCUAUUCCAUCUGUUCCCCAGCACCGCCAAACCCAGCACUAACCCACGUCCCCAAGUGCCACAGCUUCAUGGUUUUUAAAUCCCUGCAGGGAUGGAGGCUCCACCGCUGCCCUGGGCUGGACAGCCUUUUCCAUGAGGAAAGCUCCCCCAAUAUCCAAGGCUGUUAGGGAAGGACAUUCACUCUUGUCCUGUUUCUUGUUCCCUAGGAGAAGAGAUGGGAGAAGACACUGUGGCAAAGCAGGGCCCAGCUGAAGCAACAUCCUGCCUCCAACAAGGACAUUCCACACUGUCCCCAGCUCAGGAAUUCCACCUCAUCCUCCCGAGUGAGACCUCUCUCCAAGCCACAUCUCCCUGCAGGACCAGCAGCACCCUCAGUGAGUCUCCUUCUGGUUGAAUCCUGGGCCUUGAGUGAGUCACCAAUGCCCAGGAGAGGCUUGGGGAGGUGCAGCUCUCGGUGAUGCAGAGCUCUGUGGCACUGCUGGGAUUGAUUGGAGGCAUCCCUGCUCCUGAAGGGAUUGACGCCGCCUCGGCAGCGGUGAUGUAUGUGCACAGAUCUAUUUAAUGAAAUGCUAAAUGAUAGGCUAAAUAACUGAGCAACUUUAGCUUGAUUUAUUGCGUGGAAGUGAGGAAUGCGUGUCCCUGCUGUCAGCCAUCUUGGCUGCCAACAGAGGUCACGAGCUCUAAUUGUAGCUAAUUAACGUUAAUUAGACUUGGGAAAGACGGGGUCUCCUCUCCCCAGUCAUCCCCAUCCACCCCAGCACUCACAUUCCCUGGAACCAGGCUGCAUUCCCAGCAGCCCAGGCUUCAGCAGUUCCUGUUAAUCCCAAUCCAGCUGAAAUCAUCAGCUCCUGCUUCCCCCACCCUCCCCACCCUGCUCAGACCGUGAGGGUGAGACCUGCCAGGCUCCCAGGGCGCAGCCCCCUGCUCUCUUUGGGUGUGUCACAGCCUCAAAGUGACACUGAGGGGAUGCUCGAGUCCCUCUGCCCCCACCAGGUCACCUGGACCAGCAAAUGCCUCCCUUGGGCUCACAGGAGGCACUGCCCAAAACCACAGGGGCUGCUCCGUGGCCCGGCUCCCUCUGCGGAGCACGGAGGGUUCGGAGAGCACCACGAUCAUUAAUAAAGCAUCAAAGGCUCCUGAGGGGGAGAACCACAAAAACCCGCAUGUAUAUUAAUACCACAGCAAUUAUUCAUGGGGAAACCCUCUCCCCAGCAGCUCCCAGGGCUCCCCCUCGCUCCCUGGGUGCAGGACAAAGCCUCUCCCGGUGUCCCUGCCCUGCCCAGCACAGCCCCUGGCACAGGGAGAAGGGCGGGCACUGGAUCCAGCUGCUAUCCUGGCACGGGCAGCCCUGGCUGGCAGCACAGCUCCAAUCUGCUGCCAAAAUCCUCCAGCAGGGCCCGGGGCCUGGGAGGAGAGCGGCUCAGCAGCUGCAGCCUGAGAUCUGUCCCCGUGCUGGGAAAGGCAGGUGAGCUCGGCGUGCAGCCCCUGCUCUCCAGGCAGGUUCCACCUGCAGCCCACAGUGUGAGGAUGUGGAGAUGCUGGAGUGAGGCCAUGGAGCUGCUCCAGGGCUGGAGCCCUCUGCUCUUGAGCCAGGCUGAGAGAGCUGGGAGUGUUCACUGGAGAAAAAAAAAGGCUCCAGGAAGAGCUCAGAGCCCCUUCUAGGGUCUAAAGGGGCUCCAGGAGAGCUGGAGAGGGACUGGGGACAGGGGCUGGAGGGACAGGACACAGGGAAUGGGUUUAAACUGAAAGAGGGUAGGCUUAGAUGGGAUAUCAGGGAGAAAUCCUUCCCUGUGAGGGUGGAGAGGCCCUGGUACAGAAAAGCUGUGGCUGCCCCUGGAUCCCUGGAAGUGUCCAAGGCCAGGCUGGAUGGGAUUUAGAGCCACCUGAGCUAGUGGAAGGUGUCCCUGCCCAUGGCAGGGGGUGGAAUAGAUGAGCUUUAAGGUUCUCCCAACCCAAACCAUUCUGGGAUUCUGUGAAACUCCAUCCCAGAGCCUCCUUCAGGCCCAGAGUAGGCUCUGCUUCACCCCCUAGAAAUGAAGAGCCCUUCCUGCUGUGGCCUGGAGGAUGCUGCUGGGCACAAGAGGGGCCAUCCGAAGGCACCGAUGCCCUGCGGAUGCCACUGCUGCUCCCACGCCUCUCCCACACCAAUAUCCAAGAGCAAUCAGUGGCUGUCAAGCUUUGUGGCACCGAGGCAGAGCAGGAUUUGGCCACCCACGUGAAAUCUGGAGGUAAUUUAAUGGCUCCCAGGAAAGGGAAUCAAUCCACUGGAAGGGAAUCGCUGUUUGCUCCCACACCUUGCCACCAACACCGCCGGGAGCGGCGGCAGCAGCAGGUGGAUGUGCAGCACCAUUUAUUUACAUAAUAAAAUUGCCAAGUAGAUUUGUAGCUCAGGGCCAUCCUCCCCUCUUCCCUGUGCCUGGCUCCCACCAGCUGAAAGGCAGUGAGGGGGGACAGAGCCUCCGAGAGCCCUGGUGGCUGCUGCCAAGAGAUGCAGGGAUGCAGAUGCCUCCAGAUUGCUCUGGAUUUGGGCAGGGCAUGGGAAUUGUAUCCCAGCUCAAAGCUGCUUUGCAGCCCUUUAUAUCUGUCCACAUGAAGCUGUGUCAGGGGAGGUUUAGGUUGGAUAUCAGGAAAGGUUCUUCCCCACAGGGAAUGGGCACGGCCCCAAGGCUGCCACAGCUCCAGGAGAGUUGGUACAGCGCUCUCAGGCACAGGCUAGGAUUGUUGGGAUGUCUGGGCAGGGCCAGGAUUUGUACUUUGAUGAUCUUAAUAUGUCCCUUCCAGCUGAGGAUAUUCCACCACUGAUCUGGGAAAGGCAUUGGGUCAUCUGCAAGCUGCCUGCUCCCAGGAGAAAGGGUUAAACAAUGGACACCCUGCUCUCAAAACUUCACCAGAGACUCCUGGAGCAGCCAGCACGAGGAUAAAAGAAAAUCAGAAAUUAAAAAAAAAAAAAAAAAAGAAAACCCCAGCCUGGAAUGAAUUCCUGUCAUGCUCUCUAACAGGGAACUUUGUAUUCCGCAGGCAGCAGCACUGAGCCUGCUGUCAGAGCCACGCUGGGAGAAAGGGCAAAACCCUGCCGAGAUGAAAGAAUGGGAAGCACUGGAACAGCCUCCCCUGGCAUUUACACCUGGAAAAAAAAUAAAUCACUCAAGGGCAUCUCACAAAGAGCUGUGCUAAUAAGGCUCUCCUCCCCACGCUGUGUGGCUGCGCCGGCGGAGCGGGACAUGGAGCGGUGCCAGGAGUGCUGGCAGCAGCUCAGGUACCACGAGGGGAAAGCAGCAGGUAAGACAAGCCUGAUCCAAGCCUGAUCCAAGCCUGAAAGCCUGAGCUGAGCUCUGCCCACGCUGCUUCCAGCCAGGGGACAGAGGGACCUCUGGGCAGCCCAGGAGUGCAGGUACCCUUUGUCUCAGCUGAUCUACCAGAGAUUCCUUCCCCUCACACACGAAUUUUCCAAAGGCUCCUCAAAUUUACUGCACCUCUCAGGCAGGGUGAGAAGUCAGGGUGAUGCCCACUGACCCUCCUGGCUUGUCUGCACAUCCUUUUUCCUCCACCAUCCAAAUUCCCCCUCCACAACCCUGUCCUGGCUCCUGUGAGUGGGCUCCCUCCACCACACAGACCUUUCCCUGCUCCCAGGAGGAUUUUUCUCCUUUUCUGAGCACAGGGAAGAAGGCAGGGCAGUGUUCAGGCAUUACCCUCUGGUGUCACUGUCCCACAGCCCCAUGUCUGCACUCAGGAUCCCCCCAGGGUGGGGAAAACACCAUCCUCUGCAUCCCUUCUCCAACCCAUCCCUCUCCAUCCCCUGCAAGCCAGACCUCCCAACACAUCCCACUGGGCAGCAGCUCUGGCUACCAAAUGCAAAAUACCAAUGUCUGUCCCGUUGUUCUGGGGCCUCAGGGGUUGCUGCAGAUGGUCCCUGCUCCUGCCUUGGCCUGGGCUGGCACUGGGCACCCUCACACAGCCUGUGCCAGCCAAGUCCUGGGCAUCCAGCCAGGACAGGACAGCACCAAAUGGAAACUCAGCCUUGGCAAAGCCUGGCAGUGCCUCAGAUCCUGCCUGCCCUUGGCAGAGGUGCUGCUCCUCAUUUUUAUCUCAUUUCUUCAGCUCAGCAUGACCAGGAGCCUCUCCAAGCCCUCAGAACUGAAGGACAAGAGCAGAUGAACCCUCCCCAGGCUGCAGGUCCUGCUCCAGUGGAUAAACCAGGCAAACCUGGAGGGUUUCUACAAACCAGGCACCAAGAGUUGGAGUUCAGUCCUCGCUAGCAGGAACUCCUGGGUGACUGAUAGGACACAAGCAGGCUGAGCAGACCCCCCCUGCUCCUCCAGCCUGAAUUACUGCAGAUGGGUUUGCCCAGAGGACCAGCCAGAAAAGAAAAUGGGUGUCUGUGCUCCACCCACGGAUGUGAGCAAUUCCCCUGGCAGGGAAACACCUGCUGGUCCCUGGGGACAGCCAAGCACCGAGAAAAGCCUGUGCCAGAGGGAUGAGGGUGCAUCCUGCUCCUUCUCCUCAGGGAGCAGCCCCAGAGGAGGGAAGAGUUGUGCCUGGCCAAGGAUGACCUGCCCAGGACCUUUCCUACAAACACCCCAUUCCUCUGUGCUGGGAGAUUGCAGGAAGUUUUGCCUUUCCCAGCAGAAGGGGGAAUAAUGGAAUUGGCUGGAAAAGAUCUUUAAGAUCAUCAAGUGCAACCAUCAGCCCUGCACCACCACCAUGGUCACCACUGACCGUGUCCCCAAGUGUCACAUCCCUGUUUUUUGAACACUUUCAGGGAUGGGGACUCCACCACUGCCUUUUCCAUGCAGAAAUUCUCCCCCAUAUCCAACCUAAACCUUCUCUAAGGCCAUUUCUCCUCAUCCUGUCCCUUAUUUCCCUCCUUGGCUGUCCCCUCCUGUCAGGAGCUGUGCAGAGCCACAAGGUCCCUCCUGAGCCUCCUUUUCUCCAGGCUGAGCCCCUUCCCAGCUCCCUCAGCCUCUCCUGUCCUCCAGUCGUGAUGGGGGCUGGACUUGAUGGCCUUGAAAGGUCCUUCCCCACCCAAACUAUUCCAUGAUUCUAUGGAAUCUCCGAGAGCCAGGCUGGGAAUGGCAAAGAUCCACAGCUGGUGUCAGCUGUGGAGUGGAGAGCUCUGUCUGAAAAUGAGAGACACUCUGAGUGUCUGCUGAGGCUGAAACCAGUCAGAGCCACUGGGAUCAUUCCCUGGACUGGGAGUCACGGCUGCAGCAAGAGCAGAUUCCAUUUUUGGAGCAAGCUGGGAAUUCAGUGCUGAGUGGGAUGCUCCCAGCUAAGCCAGGGCUUGUCCUUGGUGCUGGGAUUUGUAAUCAGAGUGCAAAAACAACUUCUUUUUGUUUUGUUCUUGUGCUUGUUGUUGGGGUUUUUUUUGUUUUGCUUUGUUUUCCCUGGAGUUUCUUCUUGCACUGCAAAACAUCCAGAAGGAAUAAAAAGACACCAGCUCCACUCUGUUCUGCCUCUAAAGCCUUAACAACAGGAUAUGAGAAUUGUUUUGGGCCACAGGAUUUACUAUUAAUGGGGUUCAGGGGCACUUGUGACCUGUGCAAAAGAGUCCAGCAAAAAUUCACUGAUAAACCAAGAUUUAACAAUGUGGAAAACAGCUCCAAGGGUGUGGGGGUUUUUUAAAUGCAGCUCAAAGAAAGAAAUUUAAAAGAUAUGAGUCAUCAUUCCAAAAUGUGCAUCAAACAAGUUAAAUAACUCUUACUUUCUUAACGACAUAUUAAUCAAAGUGCAUUGAUUCUUGAAUCAGAUUCUCCUCCCAACAAGCUCUCUAUCUUCUCCAUCCUGAUGCAUGCAUUAAGAGAGUUUUAUUCUGACAGAUACAAUAUAGCAAUCAAUAAAAUCUUAUUAUAUGGAGCAGAGAUACAUGGAUUUGUUGCAGGAUUUAUGCACUACUUUCAAACCCGGUGCUAUUUCAUGUCUCAGCUUUAACCUGUAAUUGAAAAUAAAUCUCCCUGAAUACACCAGAUUCUAAUUUUCUGGAUGUAUGGGCAAAUGUGAAUGGAAGCUGCCCUUCCCUCGGGGAGCAGGCUGCUCUCGGGUCGUGUCGCUGGACUGGCAGAUUCCUCUGGAGAAACCCCUGUGCAGGCAGGGAAACGGGAAAGGGGCAGUGCCUGGGCACCACGCUGGGCACCCACCACGCUCCCAAACCCUCCUCGUGCUUCCAAAGCCCCUUGGUGCUCCCUGGGCAGGGAUAACACGAUGGGACAGUGCCAGAGCCUGGCCUGGGUGGGCACGGCAAG